rnacentral:misc_RNA from 1 species
UGGAGAGAUUUUUGCAACCAGCUGACUGGUUUGAGAAGAGACUUGCAUACACACGUAGCGUGGCUGCGAGCUCCAUGGUGGGUUAUAUUGUUGGCCUCGGUGACAGACAUUCCAUGAAUAUCUUGAUUGAUCAAACCACUGCACAAGUUGUUCACAUAGAUCUUGGUGUUGCUUUUGAACAAGGCUUGAUGCUUAAGACCCCAGAGCGGGUUCCGUUCAGAUUGACAAGAGACAUAAUUGAUGGCAUGGGUGUUACUGGAGUAGAAGGGGUCUUCAGAAGAUGUUGUGAAGAAACUCUUGCUGUUAUGCGAACAAAUAAAGAAGCUCUACUAACCAUUGUUGAAGUAUUUAUUCAUGACCCAUUGUAUAAAUGGGCUUUAUCCCCUCA